rnacentral:misc_RNA from 1 species
GAUGAAGAACGCAGCUAAAUGCGAUACGUAAUGUGAAUUGCAGAAUUCAGUGAAUCAUCGAAUCUUUGAACGCAUAUUGCGCUCUCUGGUAUUCCGGAGAGCAUGCUUGUUUGAGUAUCAGUAAACACCUCAACUUCCAUAUCUUUUUUGAAAUGGGAGUUGGACUUGAGUGAUCCCAACGCUUUUCCUCACCGAAAAGUGGCGGGUUACUUGAAAUGCAGGUGCAGCUGGACUUUUCUCUGAGCUAUAAGCAUAUCUAUUUAGUCUGCCUAAAAAACAGAUUAUUACCUUUGCUGCAGCUAACAUAAAGGAGAUUAGUUCUUGUGCUGACUGAUGCAGGAUUCACAAAGACGGCUUCGGCCGACUUUGUAAACUCGAUCUCAAAUCAAGUAAGACUACCCGCUGAACUUAAGCAUAUCAAUAAGCGGAGGA